GUCCGUUGUCAGACGUUUGGGGUGACGAGGCUUCUAAAUACGUAACAUCAGAAUCACUAGCUUGGUGUGAAGUUAUCUGUUUUCAACGAACAAAGCAGUUGGCAUUAUUCAGUGUGAAGAUUCCCAGAGUUGUAAUAGAUGGUACGAAUCACAGUUUCACCACUGACAGGAUUGGGUUUAAUUCAUUCCCAACUCCAAGUCAUGAUCUGCAAAUGAGGAAAGUUAAAGCGUGCAUUGGCAGGGUAAGCCAUAAAGUGUAGCUUAAAAUAUACGGUUUGCAUGCCGUUUU